UACGUAGGGGGGCAAGCGUUGUCCGGAUUUAUUGGGCGUAAAGAGCGUGUAGGCGGCCUGGAAGGUCAGCUGUGAAAACUCGAGGCUCAACCUCGAGACGUCGGUUGAAACCACCUGGCUAGAGUCCGGAAGAGGAGAGUGGAAUUCCCCGGUGUAGCGGUGAAAUGCGCAGAUAUCGGGAAGAACACCCGUGGCGAAGGCGGCUCUCUGGGACGGUACUGACGCUGAGACGCGAAAGCGUGGGGAGCGAACAGG
rnacentral:rRNA from 1 species